UCAUCUGACCAAACUGCAGCACCAUGUAGCUGUCUAGUUUCCAGCCAAGAGAAUGACCUUCACUCUGACCAGUGAGCUUCAGUUCCCACCAGUUAGAGAAAUUAAGGGGUUUUAAACCAGUUAGACACUGCCUGGUCAGGUUACUCAUUACGUACCUUGUUCCCUUGGGCCUUUUCUUUAAGCUCUGCAGAACAGAGAAUAAAAAUGUUGUGCCCACUCUGUGGAACAUUUCAGUACAGAACAAGUUGUUUUGCUGGUUUUGAAGUAAAAAUGUAAAAUACCUCCCCCCUCCUUUUUUUCCCCCUUCUCAUCUUAAGGCUAGCUCAGAAGGCUGUUUAUAGAGAAGAGACUGGACUUUUGAUGACAGCAAGGACAAGUGCAGAAUCUCACUCUGUCAAAGUAAGCAUGGAGAAAAUUAAGUACAGAGCGCAAGUCCAUCAGGAGAACUUAAAAGUGCUUCAGAGUCCUGUCCUAUUAACAUUGGGACAAGAAAUCCUGCAUCUGCAAAGCACAUCACAAUACCACAAGUGGUUGCAGAGCCUAACUCAGACACCAGAAACAGCAGGAGAGCCAUGUUAGCAAGGCAUCAGACUCUGCUCUAGCCACUCAAGUCUGCUCUUCAUUCAGACCAAGCUCAGCCAAGUCUCUUACCUCUGCUAUCCAUUUUUACUGACACCAAGUGGUCUGAGCUAAAUUCUAGGACAAUUCAACAGGCAUUAAAUGGACAGAGUUACACAGAAAAGA